AAUAAACGUUGGCGGUGCGCCUUAUGCAUGCAAGUCGAACGGGGUUAUGGUCUUCGGAUCGUAAGCUAGUGGCGAACGGCUGAGUAACGCGUAAGUAACCCACCUUGGAGUGGGAAAUAACCCGCCGAAAGGCGGGCUAAUGUCCCAUGUGGUAACCGAGAGGAUGCUUGGUUAUUAAAGCUUUCGGGUGCUCCAAGACGGGCUUGCGUCCGAUUAGCUAGUUGGCAGGGUAAUGGCCUACCAAGGCAAGGAUCGGUAGCUGGUCUGAGAGGAUGGCCAGCCAGAUGGGGACUGAGACACGGCCCCAACUCCUACGGGUGGCAG
rnacentral:rRNA from 1 species